rnacentral:rRNA from 1 species
UACAGAGGGUGCAAGCGUUGUUCGGAAUUAUUGGGCGUAAAGGGCGCGUAGGCGGUGCGGUAAGUCCGCAGUGAAAUCUCUGGGCUCAACUCAGAGUCUGCUGUGGAAACUGCCGUGCUAGAGUGUGGGAGAGGUGAGUGGAAUUCCCGGUGUAGCGGUGGAAUGCGCAGAUAUCAGGAGGAACACCAAUAGCGAAGGCAGCUCGCUGGGACGUUACUGACACUGAGGCGCGAAAGCGUGGGGAGCGAACAGG